GAGACUCGCGUAUCCCGUCAGCCCUGGCGCGCUGGGUGGAAGAAGGCGGGGAGGUGACUCUCUGGCCCGCAACGCCUCGACUCUCCUGUCCCGACUGACGUUGGGCAACAAAGAUGGCGGCGGGAACCAGCAAUUACUGGGAAGAUCUCAGGAAACAAGCUCGACAGCUGGAAAAUGAACUUGACCUGAAACUAGUUUCCUUCAGUAAACUGUGUACAAGUUACAGUCACAGCAGCGCCAGAGAUGGAGGACGCGAUAGGUAUAGUUCUGACACAACACCCCUAUUAAAUGGAUCAAGUCAAGACAGAAUGUUUGAGACAAUGGCAAUUGAAAUUGAACAGCUUUUGGCAAGGCUUACAGGGGUAAAUGAUAAAAUGGCAGAAUAUACCAACAGUGCAGGGGUCCCCUCGUUGAAUGCAGCACUGAUGCACACGUUGCAGCGACAUAGAGACAUUCUACAGGACUAUACACAUGAAUUCCAUAAAACCAAAGCAAACUUUAUGGCAAUACGGGAAAGGGAGAAUCUGAUGGGAUCAGUACGAAAAGAUAUUGAGUCAUAUAAAAGUGGGUCUGGAGUUAACAACAGGAGAACUGAACUGUUUUUGAAAGAACAUGACCACCUUCGAAACUCUGAUCGUCUGAUAGAAGAAACAAUAAGCAUCGCUAUGGCAACAAAAGAAAAUAUGACUUCACAGAGAGGAAUGCUCAAGUCAAUUCACAGCAAAAUGAACACUUUGGCCACCAGGAGAAAAACAAGACUCCAGAGGACGGAUCGUGUGGCCGAGCUGCAACCAACAAGGUUCUUCGCCUUGGCUGCAGGGUUCCAGCUCAGCAGAGUCACUCAGUGCGCAAAGCUCUUUUCUAUGCUCUCAGAAGACAUGGGAAUCUAAAAAGGCUGGUGCUGAAGCUUUAACUUCCUGCUUAGAAGCAUUCCCACGAUGCUGGAAGACUUUCUUUCCUCCCACAUGGUCCUUUGAUAACUCAGCCUGACAUCUCUGUGGUUUUCCAUUUGCCUCCUUUGAGAGAUGGGGCUUUUAGCAAAUGAUCACUUACCUUAAACCCAUUUGUUUUGGGUAUUUUCGAAGACCCAAACUUUUGCAGAAAGUUCUUACAUCUUGAGAAGCACACCGAUAUGGUUGGUACCUGCUUUUAAUCCAGUGCCAAUAGGGUUAAACAUGAAGGUGACAUUUUAUAUUUUUUCACCCUAGAAUAAAUAAGUCCACCAUCCUCUCCAUUCCCCUCUCCCCGUCAUGUCUCACUGGAGCUGGUUCACACUGCCUGACUGUGGCAGCUGUUGUAGGCAUGCCAUCCUGCCUCUGUCUAACCUCUUUGUCACCCUGCAUGUAGCAGCCUAAUUUCGCUUCCUGAACAACCCAUGACCUGUCAUUAUUGAAGAACCUCCCUAGCCUCCUGGUCUAGCACAGUGUAUGAAGAAAUGAUAAAAUUCCUUCCCUGAACAAGACAAUGUCUACUCCUCCUUCCUGUGAUCUCAACAGCAAACUGAGAAACAAUUCCUCCAAAGUUAACCCUGGGGAGCCAAUGACUUUAUUACACUUGCCUACAAAGCAGUGGGUCAGGGGUUAUGGGCAGGAGCGGGGGUGACCCUAAAACAAGCUACUCUGGAAGGUCUACACCCAGCAUGAAUGGCAAGUCCUCUGUGAUCGAACAGAUGGAGCCCUUUCCCCUAGUUACUCCCAGCCUGUGUGCUCUAGCUCGUCCCUUAGGUCAUGUGUAAUUAGGGCAGACUUGUACACAACUGGUUAGAAGUCCCAUGACCCUCUAGAGCCCUCCCUUCUAUGAGGAAAUGCCAACAGUCAACAGGCCCAGCUGUGAUGAUCUUUUAUGCCCAGAAAAACUGAAGAUGACAACAGUGUGACUUAGAAGAUAGCCCUAGACCAGUGGUUCUCAACCUGUGGGUCAAGCCCCCUUUGUGGUGGGUCAAGCCCCCUUUGUGGUGGGUCAAGCCCCUUUGUGGUGGGUCAAGACCCCUUUGUGGUGGGUCAAGGCCCCUUUGUGGUGGGUCAAGACCCCUUUGUGGUGGGUCAAGACCCCUUUGUGGUGGGUCAAGACCCCUUUGUGGUUGAACAACCCUUCUACAUUACACUUCCUAACAGUAGCGGAAUUAUAAUUAUGAAAUAGCAAUGGAAAUAAUUUUGUGGCUGGGGAUCAUCACAACAUGAGGAACUUUUUAAAGGGUCGCUGAAUUAGGAAGGUUGAGAACUACUGCCCUAGACAGACUACUCUGGUUCUUACAUUAUUUCCAGUCUCCCCAAGAGAUCCUGAGCCUCAAAGAAAGUUAAAUAAAAGCCUGGGGCCCUCUCUGUAGCCCCUGUCUCUAGAAUGUACCUGUUGGUGAGUCUUGCAUUUUGGAGAAGGAAACCCAAUGUAAGGAAGAGGAUGAAAGCAGAAAGGUAUCCACAUGGACACAGACUACAGUAAUAACCUGUGACUGUAAACACAAAUGUGGAAACACCUCACAUCACUAAACCAAGCAAGAGCAGUUGCUUCUCACAGGAGCCUAUGCCUUCCCUGGUCACAUGCCUUGUCUAAAUUCCCUGUACCAGAUGUGAGUUAUCCACUGUGAAUCAGGCCUCAGGUCCAGUCAGAAAGCUGGUUCUAGCCGUAACUAGUUGAGCCACUACCCCACUAGAUGGGGCCUCUUGCCUGGCACUUUCAGUAUGAAGCAAGCAGGAUCCACAGCUGAGUAGGAAUUUUGGGCCUUAAUUCUGUCCAGCAACCCUAGUAGCAAUUUCUGGUCCUACAGGGAGGUGACACUUCCUGCUCAGUCCUAGCUUUUGUUUCUACAAGUCCUACAACCAAAGCAUGGCAGUAUCUUCAGCAACAGGGCAGCUCUGCAUGCGACCAGCAACGAUAGUGAUAACCUUUGUUGUUUUAGAGUCACCCAGGGCCAACAAUUCCUAUGGAGGGGCUGGAGAGAUGGCUCAACAGUUAAGAGCACAGUUAAGAGGACCCAGCAGCUCACAACUGUCUAACUAGAUCCAGGAGGUCCAAUGCCCACUGCAUGCACAUGGUGCAUAUACAAACAUGCAGCUACUAUAACAAAUUACCACAGUCUCAGAGGAUGGGGAUUUCAAGAUGGAGGAUCCAGAGACCUGUUGUCUGGUGCUUCUGGGUCUCCCACUCGGGAACUGUGAUCACCUCGACUGACAGAGCUGUCCUGAGCCAUCCUUCUGUACCCCAGGGCAGAGAACAUUACUCCAUGCUCAGUGGAUAUGGGGAGGGGAGACAUGGUCUCCCUUAAAGUGCGGUACACCUUGGUGACUAAUGGCGGACACCCCUUCCUCUUCGAUAACGCAGGUGUCCCUUCAGCCCAGCCCUUCAGUGCUCAGUCAGAAAGUCGAAGUGGUGUCCUGACUAUCCACAGCUGAUUCAAGACUUUCCUGUUCCCAAAGAAACUUUGGAAGCCACGAGUUGAGUGCAAGCAGGACUCCCCAAAGGAAAGCCACCUCUUCCACACUGAGGAGCAAACUGCUUUCCUUUCAGACGGGCCAGGUGAGGGUGUGUGAGAGAAAUGGAGUCAUUUCAGAUCACCUUUCAAGGUCACAAAUGAACAGAAGCCUUGAUGGAGUGUUUCCACUCUUAAGGACUGAUCUUAUAGAUGCAAAGAGAUGCAUCACAGCCAAUUCUACAGGGAAAGACUGGAUGUAACCUAAACAGCUCAGUGGAGAAAUGGAAAGAAAGGAGAGGAACAAUCGAUCCCCAAGUUGUACUUGGUCCUUCCCAAGUGAGGGAAACUAUGGGAUAUACUCAUGCUUAAAGAAAAAAAUUGCUGUAAUGAGGUGCAAUUGACAUGAAAUAAAUGAAAUGAAAUAAA